GCUUCUGUAGCUCAGUUGGUGGUAGCGUCCCUCUCAUACUAAAUGACAGGGGAAGGUCGUGAGUUCGAGCCUCACCAGAAGCA
rnacentral:tRNA from 1 species